AUGAAGUACGAUUUUCCGCUGCUGGACCGUGACACAAGGUUUACCCUAUGGCAAGUCAAGAUGCGGGCGUUGUUGGCGCAGGCCGACUAUGAUGUAGCACUGGAUAGUUUUGAGAAGAACCGAAUUCAAGAUUGGACUGAUGAGGAGAAAAUAAUUGAUUGUAAGGCUUUGUCACAAAUUCAACUCCAUUUGCAUAAUAAUAUUUUGCAGGAAGUUUUGAGCGAGAAAACUGCCGCCGCUCUAUGGUUAAAGCUGGAAGGGAUUUGCAUGACUAAUGAUCUCACCAGCAAGAUGCAUCUGAAGCAAAAAUUAUUUCUGCAUAGGUUACCCGAGGGAGGUAAUGUUUUGAAUCAUAUUUCAGAAUUUAAAGAGAUCAUAUCUGAUCUAGCUGCAAUGGAGGUUAAGUAUGAAGAGGAAGAUACUGCUUUACUAUUACUUUGUUCACUGCCAAGUUCUUAUACCAAUUUUAGAGACACCAUAUUAUACAGUCGUGAUACUCUCACGCUUAAUGAAGUUUAUGAAGCUUUGAACUCCAAGGAGAAGAUGAAAUUAAUGGUGCCUCAUGAUGGUUCGAGUUCAUCCCAUGCCGAGGGAUUAUCUGUUCGUGGCAGGACAAAGGAGAAGAACUCCAAUAAUGGAAACAGAGGCAAAAGUAAAAACGGCUACAGGGGUCGGUCGCAAUCCAGAGACAAGAAAUAUUGCAGAUAUUGCAAGAGAGACGGGCAUGACAUCUCAGAGUGUUUCAAGUUGCAGAACAAGGAAAAGAGGAAAGGUAACAAACAAGGUGACAAUUCUGCUAAUGUUGCUCGUGAUGAUAGUUCCGAUGAUGCUCUUGUCGUUAUUGCUGGAUGUGCUGAGACCAACGAUGAGUGGGUACUUGACACUGCAUGUACUUCCCAUAUGUGCCCGCAUAGAGAUUGGUUUAAUACUUUUGAUUCCACUACUUCUGCUGGUUCCGUUUUGGGUUUUGAUAAUUCACCAUGCAAGAUUGAAGGCAUAGGUUCUAUUCGAAUCAAGAUGUUUGAUGGCAUAAUCACAACUUUGACAGAUGUUCGGUAUAUUCCGAAGAUGAAGAGAAAUCUUAUUUCUAUGAGUACCCUUGAUGCAAAGGGGUACAAGUAUUCAGGUGGAGAUAGUGUUUUGAAAGUCACCAAAUGCUCCCUUGUUGUGAUGAAAGGUGACUUAAGUUCGACCAAUGGUCUUUAUUACCUUCGAGGUUCUAUAGUUUCAGGUAACGCUACUCCAGUUGUUUCAAAGAAUUCUGAUUGUGAUGCUGCUAACCUUUGGCAUAUGCGUCUUGGACAUAUGAGUGAACUUGGUUUAGCAGAGUUAAAUAAGAGAGGUCUUCUUGAUGGAUAUGAACCUGGUAAAUUGAAAUUUUGUGAGCAUUGUAUCUUCGGCAAGCACAAGAGGGUGAAGUUCAACACUUCGACUCAUACAACCGAAGGUAUUCUUGAUUAUGUGCAUUCUGAUUUAUGGGGACCAUCUCGCAAGAAGUCACUAGGUGGUGCAAGUUACAUGCUGACUAUUAUUGAUGAUUAUUCGAGAAAAGUUUGGCCUUAUUUCUUGAAGCAUAAAUAUGAAGCAUUCUCAGCAUUUAAGGAAUGGAAGAUUAUGAUUGAAAGACAGACUGAAAAGAAGGUAAAAAUACUUCGCACUGAUAAUGGUAUGGAAUUCUGUUCUAAGCAAUUUAAGAAUUAUUGCAAGUCUGAAGGCAUUGUCAGACAUUACACGGUGUUGCUGAGCGUAUGA
rnacentral:rRNA from 1 species